GACGAACGCUGGCGGCGUGCUUAACACAUGCAAGUCGAACGGAAAGGCCCUGCUUUUGUGGGGUGCUCGAGUGGCGAACGGGUGAGUAACACGUGAGUAACCUGCCCUUGACUUUGGGAUAACUUCAGGCAACUGGGGCUAAUACCGGCUAGGAGCUCCUGCUGCAUGGUGGGGGUUGGAAAGUUUCGGCGGUUGGGGGUGGACUCGCGGCUUAUCAGCUUGUUGGUUGGGUAGUGGCUUACCAAGGCUUUGACGGGUAGCCGGCCUGAGAGGGUGACCGGCCACAUUGGGACUGAGAUACGGCCCAGACUCCAACGGGAGGCAGCAGUGGGGAAUAUUGCACAAUGGGCGGAAGCCUGAUGCAGCAACGCCGCGUGCGGGAUGACGGCCUUCGGGUUGUAAACCGCAUUCGCCUGUGACGAAGCGUGAGUGACGGUAAUGGGUAAAGAAGCACCGGCUAACUACGUG
rnacentral:rRNA from 1 species